rnacentral:rRNA from 1 species
AUACAUGCAAGUCGAACGGGGUGCUUGCACCCAGUGGCGAACGGGUGAGUAACACGUAUCUAAUCUACCUUUUAGUGGGGGAUAACAGUUGGAAACGACUGCUAAUACCGCAUACGACAUCAUUAUCGCAUGAGAAGAUGUUGAAAGGCCCGUUUGGGUCGCUAGAAGAUGAGGAUGCGGCGUAUUAGCUAGUAGGUGGGGUAAAGGCCCACCUAGGCGAUGAUACGUAGCCGAACUGAGAGGUUGAUCGGCCACAUUGGGACUGAGAUACGGCCCAGACUCCUACGGGAGGCAGCAGUAGGGAAUUUUUCACAAUGGGCGAAAGCCUGAUGAAGCAAUGCCGCGUGAGUGAUGACGGUCUUCGGAUUGUAAAGCUCUGUUGUAAGGGAAGAACAGCUAGAAGAGGAAAUGCUUUUAGUUUGACGGUACCUUACCAGAAAGCCACGGCUAA